rnacentral:rRNA from 1 species
AUUGAACGCUGGCGGCAUGCCUUACACAUGCAAGUCGAACGGCAGCACGGGAGCAAUCCUGGUGGCGAGUGGCGAACGGGUGAGUAAUAUAUCGGAACGUGCCCAGUCGUGGGGGAGUAACGUAGCGAAAGACUACGCUAAUACCGCAUACGAUCUAUGGAUGAAAGCGGGGGAGUCGCAAGACCUCGCGCGAUUGGAGCGGCCGAUAUCAGAUUAGGUAGUUGGUGGGGUAAAGGACCUACCAAGCCUUCGAUCUGUAGCUGGUCUGAGAGGACGACCAGCCACACUGGAACUGAGACACGGUCCAGACUCCUACGGGAGGCAGCAGUGGGGAAGUUUU